rnacentral:tRNA from 1 species
GCGCGCCAUGGCCUUCCGGCCGGUGGCCGCGGGUUUCGGGAAUCCGCUGAUCGAGGAGGUCACCGCGCCCGACGUGCC